GGAGAGGUGGCCGAGUUUGGCUUAAGGCGUACGCCUGCUAAGCGUAUGAGAUUCACGUCUCCGAGGGUUCAAAUCCCUCCCUCUCCGCCA
rnacentral:tRNA from 2 species